rnacentral:rRNA from 1 species
AUUGAACGCUGGCGGCAUGCCUUACACAUGCAAGUCGAACGGUAACAGGUUAAGCUGACGAGUGGCGAACGGGUGAGUAAUGUAUCGGAACGUGCCCAGUCGUGGGGGGAUAACGUAGCGAAAGCUACGCUAAUACCGCAUACGAUCUAUGGAUGAAAGCGGGGGAUCGCAAGACCUCGCGCGAUUGGAGCGGCCGAUAUCAGAUUAGGUAGUUGGUGGGGUAAAGGCCCACCAAGCCGACGAUCUGUAGCUGGUCUGAGAGGACGACCAGCCACACUGGGACUGAGACACGGCCCAGACUCCUACGGGAGGCAGCAGUGGGGAAUUUUGGACAAUGGGCGCAAGCCUGAUCCAGCAAUGCCGCGUGCAGGAUGAAAGGCCUUCGGGUUGUAAACUAGCUUUUGUACGGUAACGAAACAAGCUCUUUCUAAUACAGAGGCGAAUGACGGUACCGUAAGAAUAAGCACCGGCUAACUACGUGCCAGCAGCCGCGGUAA